CUAAAUCAUUUUUUCGUUCCUUUUACGAUAACAACAUGGACGAAGGAGUGAGUGAAGGAGUGGAGAAAAGGAUGGUCGAUCCUAUCUGCAUCGUGUGCUCAAUGACUUUAACAUAAAACCAUGUGUCUCACCGCCAGAUCAAUAUCCGAAGACCAUCUGUAGGGAAUGUGUAAAAUUGUUUUGAAAAGAAGAUGCCAAAUCACUCUGAAUAUUUAGAUUUGGCAUAUAAGAUGUACUAUUUAUAUAACUAUGCAAAAUACAACAAUAGACUGACAGCAGCUGAAUGAACAGCUGCACUGGAUAAAGAAAAAACACCAUCUUCCAUUUUUUGUUGUGUUCUCAUUUCAAAGAAAAUACAUAAUGCCAAAAGCUUUUCUGUUCAUUUUGUGCCUUUACCUGCUUAAA